CCAAUAGCGUAUAUUAAAGUUGUUGCAGUUAAAAAGCUCGUAGUUGAAUUUCGGGAUCAGACUGUCGGUCGUGCCUCGGUACGCACUGGCAUUAUUGGUUCCUACCUUCUGAAGAACCGCGAUGUCAUUAAUUUGGUGUCGUGGGGAAUCAGGACUGUUACUUUGAAAAAAUUAGAGUGUUUAAAGCAGGCGCACGCUUGAAUACAUUAGCAUGGAAUAAUGAAAUAGGACGUAUGAUUCUAUUUUGUUGGUUUCUAGGAUCGUCGUAAUGAUUAAUAGGGAUAGUUGGGGGCAUUAGUAUUCAAUUGUCAGAGGUGAAAUUCUUGGAUUUAUUGAAGACUAACUACUGCGAAAGCAUUUGCCAAGGAUGUUUUCAUUAAUCAAGAACGAAAGUUAGGGGAUCGAAGACGAUCAGAUACCGUCGUAGUCUUAACCAUAAACUAUGCCGACUAGGGAUCAGAUGAUGUUAAUUUUUUAAUGACUCGUUUGGCGCCUUACG
rnacentral:rRNA from 1 species